UCCUAACAUGGACAACAGUCUCUAGCAGUGUCCCAGGUGCUGUUGUUGCCUCAUAAACAAACCCCAAACAUAGUGGCUUAAAAUAACUUAUUUUGCCUACAGUUUUGUGGGUCCAGAUCUGGGUAGGACUCAGUUGGGCUAUUUGUCUGCUCCACGUGGCUUCAGCUGGGGCAUUUGCAAUUCAGGAUCUGCUCCAAAGACGGUUUCUUCACUCACGGGUCUGCCAUCUUAGUGCUCCCUGGCCUGUCUCUUUCUUUCUCCCUCUCUCCAUGUGGCAUCUUGUCCUCCAGGGUCUCAUGGCCUGGGCUUCCCACAGCCUGGUAAUCUCAGGGCGGCUGCACUUCUUACGUGGUGGCUGGUGUCCAAGAGGCAGGAAGUAGAAGCCGCCUGGCCGGCUCCCAGAACUGGCCCAGCAUUGCUUUCAUUGUAUUCUAUUGGUCAAAGCAAUCAUAGAUCUCCCCAGAAUCAAGGAGGUGGAGAGAGAGACUCCACCUCCAGGCAGGGGAGAGAGGCAAGUGGCCUGGGAGGUACUAGGAGGUCUAGCCUCCUCCCACAGGCCCCAAACCAGACUGUCCAGAACCACCUGCCUCUUGCAAAUGUCCUUCCCUGUGUACUUAACCUGGUGAGUUCUACCCAUUCUGCAGAUCUCAGCUAAAUCAGGAUUUCUAGAGGGUAGUCUCACCUGACCCUACGUGGACUCUAAGAGUCCAUGAUCCAUUGUUUUGUCCCCCCACUGCUUAUUUUGAAAGUUUUCAACCUGCAGAAAUGUUGCAAGAAUAACAUUACUUAGAGUCACUGACUAUUAACAUUUUUGUCACAUUUGCUUUUAUCUUUCUCUUUGUAUGUGUGUAUGUGUAUAAAUAUUUUAUGAGCCAUUUGCGUGUCAGCUGCAGACAUCAAGACACUUUGCCUCCAAGGACGUCGGCAGUAUCUCCUAAGAACAAGACUGUCCUCCCACGUAAGCCCAAUGCGAUGAAUACGAUGAUCACUUUCAGCUGCCGUCUACCAGUUAAAGCCACCAUCUGAUUUCACGGCGUCGGGCACAUCUCACUGACAGAAGACAUUGUGAAAUGAGUGGCAGAGGCUUUGCAUCUUCCAUGUUGGGGGCAUAAAACCACCCCCGGCCAACAUGAGUGUCUAGGAACACACAGGAGGCCCCACCUCCGCAGCAUAUGGGCUCUAGAGACGUCUGAAAUCCAGGUGUUGGCCGGGCUGUGCUCCCUCCAGAGGCUCUUCCAGCUUCUGGUGGCUCCGGUGUUCCUUG